CCCUUUGUGUACCUACCUCUGUUGCUUUGGCGGGCCGCGGUCCUCCGCGGCCGCCCCCCUCCCCGGGGGGGUGGCCAGCGCCCGCCAGAGGACCAUCAAACUCCAGUCAGUAAACGAUGCAGUCUGAAAAACAUUUAAUAAACUAAAACUUUCAACAACGGAUCUCUUGGUUCUGGCAUCGAUGAAGAACGCAGCGAAAUGCGAUAAGUAAUGUGAAUUGCAGAAUUCAGUGAAUCAUCGAAUCUUUGAACGCACAUUGCGCCCUUUGGUAUUCCGAAGGGCAUGCCUGUUCGAGCGUCAUUACAACCCUCAAGCUCUGCUUGGUAUUGGGCACCGUCCUUUGCGGGCGCGCCUCAAAGACCUCGGCGGUGGCGUCUUGCCUCAAGCGUAGUAGAACAUACAUCUCGCUUCGGAGCGCAGGGCGUCGCCCGCCGGACGAACCUUCUGAACUUUUCUCAAGGUUGACCUCGGAUCAGGUAGGGAUACCCGCUGAACUUAAGCAUAUCAA
rnacentral:rRNA from 1 species